rnacentral:rRNA from 1 species
UACGAAGGGGGCUAGCGUUGCUCGGAAUCACUGGGCGUAAAGCGCACGUAGGCGGCUUCUUAAGUCAGGGGUGAAAUCCUGGGGCUCAACCCCAGAACUGCCCUUGAUACUGAGGAGCUUGAGUCCGGUAGAGGUGAGUGGAACUCCGAGUGUAGAGGUGAAAUUCGUAGAUAUUCGGAAGAACACCAGUGGCGAAGGCGGCUCACUGGCCCGGUACUGACGCUGAGGUUCUAAAGCGUGGGGAGCAAACAGU